rnacentral:rRNA from 1 species
UUUCCCUACGGGGGGCAGCAGUGGGGAAUAUUGGGCAAUGGGCGCAAGCCUGACCCAGCAACGCCGCGUGAAGGAAGAAGGCUUUCGGGUUGUAAACUUCUUUUCUGAGGGACGAUAGUGACGGUACCUCAGGAAUAAGCCACGGCUAACUACGUGCCAGCAGCCGCGGUAAUACGUAGGUGGCAAGCGUUAUCCGGAUUUACUGGGUGUAAAGGGUGCGCAGGCGGAAGAUCAAGUCAGCGGUAAAAUUGAGAGGCUCAACCUCUUCGAGCCGUUGAAACUGGUUUUCUUGAGUGAGCGAGAAG